GGGUGUACUUGAGCUCUUAUUUUAUUUUCACCAUUCAGUAGACUAACUUCCUAAAUAAGGGUGCUGUAGCAAAAAAUUUAUACAGCAAUAUUUGGAGAGCUCUCACUUGGAAUUAAGUACCUUGCUUUUUAAGCAAGUUGAGCAGCAACGUGAUUACCCAUCACGAUGAAGAAAAAGUCGAGCAGUAUUGCUAUUUUACUGGUUUCACUAAUUGCUUCGAUCUUGUUGUUCCAUUUUGUCGUGUUGUUGACUUUGGACUUUCUUCGUAAUGAAGUAAGGUGGAAGAAGAUUAAAUUUUGACAUAUAGGGUUUAUCAUAUUAAUUAUGGAAGUUCUUGGAUGGACUGAGCUCUUGAACGACGUGAGGUACAGAUGCUCACGUUGGUAACCCGCCAGCUUAGGAGUCCUAUUCAGAUAUCUUGGAGAGCUCCCUUGUUCCGGAGCCUAGAUUUUGGUACAGAAUCUCUUGUGGUGUAUAUGUAUUUUAUCCAGGGGUACGGCGGGGCCCUGUCCCGUCAUUUGAUACUGUUGUUACUCUUAGAGGUCUGUAGACAUAUGUGUGGGUUGUGUAUAAGUUCUGUUCAGCUGUGUCUAUACGAUGUGCUAUGAUAUGAUGUCCGUCUGUAGUGGCAGCCUUGUCGGCUUGCAAUGACAUGAUAUUGAUGUGUAGUGGCAGCCUU